rnacentral:rRNA from 1 species
UACGUAGGGUGCAAGCGUUGUCCGGAAUUAUUGGGCGUAAAGAGCUCGUAGGCGGUCUGUCGCGUCGGCUGUGAAAUCCCGAGGCUCAACCUCGGGUCUGCAGUCGAUACGGGCAAACUAGAGUAUUGCAGGGGAGACUGGAAUUCCUGGUGUAGCGGUGAAAUGCGCAGAUAUCAGGAGGAACACCGGUGGCGAAGGCGGGUCUCUGGGCAACAACUGACGCUGAGGCGCGAAAGCUAGGGGAGCAAACAGG